rnacentral:lncRNA from 1 species
CUCACACUUGCUGAGCUUGAAGAAUUUGAUGAAGAUGAUGUCAGUGUACAUUGUACUUAUGGGAUUCCUUUGCAUCCAUGGACGCGCCAAAAAAGCUGCACAUAUUAAGGAAAAAAAGUGUUUGAUGACAACAAGUUAACAGCCACACAAAUCCAAGGCGGCGUAUAAUCUUCGUGUUUGGGCUUAUUGUGCUAAGGAUGCCGAAAAGCUGCAGGUGCAACAACGGGUGUAAAUUCAACACUGCCGCAUGUGUUUCUCCAUUGUCCACAAAUAUUAAAUUUCAAUAAUUUGCAUAAGCCCUGAACCUUCUGCAUUCCUUAAUUCAAUGUUCAGGUGAACAAAAUGAAUAUUGUAGUUUCCGAAAAAAAAAUUGAAUGGAGUGAAUGUUGCUACAGUCACAUUAGCCGAAGUAAUAGAUGAAUCUGUACUGUCCGUAUAAAUAAAUCUAUAGACUAUAAAAAAACUAAACGGUGAUACUCACAGACAGUACCUCUUUAGUAGUGAUGUCCAGCGUUGGAGGCAUGAUUUAUGUUAGUAGCAAGUGGUUAGUAGUCGAUGAGAGUACCAUGCAUGAUUGCAGUGCUCGAGAUGAAACUGCUCCUAGCUAGUUGAACAUUCACACAGAAAGGACACGUUAUAUAUGACAUCUCAAGUGAGAAGACCAUGUAGCAGUGAUGUCCAGACGUGAAGGCAUAAUUUAUGUAGCGCCAACCUUAACGGCAGCACGUUUAGAGACAUGAUUUAGAUGAAGAGUGAGUCCAGCCAUGGAAGGAUAUCAUGCAAACGAAUCUAUAUCUAUACUUCUAUAUUACUAUUAAACAAUCGAACAAUUUCUUUCUUAACGCCACACAACAAUUGUACCCAGGUUGAUUAGCACCGCUAGAUUAAACCCACUGAAUAAAAUCUAAUGGUUAUGAUUAAUUUAAUCCCGAGUCAUGUGUGUAGUUAGCAAUUUAGAAUGACUGACCGUACUCCACCCGCAUAGGAAUAUUCCACAUGCCGUUUCCCAGUAAUCACGUUAUUCCAUCUGUUAAUUCCUCCCCUACCAAAAAUCUCUUCCAAUCAAAUAGGAGGCAUGCACGCCCGCCGCACGGAGUCAUCACCAACCUCCUCCACUCCUCUCGCUCCCCACGCCCACGCGAUGCCGCCUAGAUCAGAGGAAUUGGAGGCCGUCGCUCCGCCAUGUUCUGUUCAGGAGCCGAAACAACAAGCACCAAUGGCCGCUCCACAGCCGGCGGCCAAGACAAGUGGGUUACACAUCUGCAUCAUCACAAAGCUCACCCCCUUGAUCAUAGCCGGAGAGAUGAGAGGGUAAAAGCAAGAUUUCCUUGCAGAGUAGGGCACCGGCAUUGGGAUGAAGAUCCGCAAAGGGAAAUUUUGUCUCAUCAAAAACAACAUCACGUGAGAUAUAUACCCUACCAGGGGAGAUGUCAAGACACUUUACACCUUUGUGUUGGGCGCUAUAGCCAAGAAAAGCACACCGUUUUGAGCGAAACAUGAGCUUGCGUUGAUUAUAAGGCCGAAGAGAGGUGUAAUCAGGUUUCGUGUGGAGGAGACGUUCCAUAGGUGUUUCAUUAUUUAUGAAACGACUAGGAAGCAUAUUGAUGAUGUGAACAGCUGUUAGAAAGGCCUCAUCCCAAAACAUGAGAGGCAUGGAGGCUCCUGCGAGGAGGGCCAAGCCAACCUCAACAAUGUGCCUAUGCUUGCGUUCGGCUAACCCGUUUUGUUGGUGAGCGUGUGGGCAUGAUACUUGGUGAGAUAUGCCUAUAUUGUGGAAGAAGGAAUUGAGUUUCUCGUAUUCCCCUCCCCAAUCGGAUUGGACAGCAAUGAUCUUACUGUCAAACUUUCUUUCAACGAGUGCUUGAAAGUUGUGGAAAACUUGAAACAUAUCAGAUCUUUUUUUGAGAAGAUAGAUCCAUGAGAAUUUGCUAUAGUCAUCGAUAAAACUAACAUAGUACAUGUGUCUACCAACAGAGGAGGGGGCCGGUCCCCACACAUCAGAAAAGAUCAAUUGUAAGGGUUUAGUGGAGACACUAGUAGAUGACUUUUAGCACACUGACAUGAAUCACAAAUAGUUUCAACAUUGCGCUCACCAACAAACGGGAGCUUAUUUUUCCUAAGUAAUUUUUCAACCAAAGAAAACGAGGCAUGUCCUAAACGGUCAUGCCAUCGUGUGGACGAAAGCUUGAUAGCACCACAAGCUUGUUUAUUGAAUCUUCUAAACUCUGGAAUCAACGGGUAGAGCCCUCGAACACAUCUACCUCGAUAGAGAAUUUUCCUCGUGGCCUGAUCCUUGAUCAAAAAGAAGGAGGGAUGAAAUUCAAGAAAAACAUGAUUAUCAAUAGUAAUUCUAUGAACGGAGAGAAGAUUCUUAUGGGCACUAGAACAUGCAGGAUUCUUUUGAGAUGAAUUUUACGACUAGGGGUAUUAAAAAUUGAGUGGCCAAUGUGACUUAUACCCAUACCUUCACCACUGGACGUAUGAAUUUGAUCUUUGCCACGAUAUUUCUCCUUCAUGGUGACUUUCUCGAGUUCAUUGGUGAUGUGGUUGGUGGCACCACUGUCAACAUACCAGUUUGUGUCAAUUCCACAGGAGCCAUCGGCCGGCCGCCGCAACAACUUUCUCUUCAUCUUGUGAGGAGUCGCCGUCAUCUUCUUCAUAGCGGUACCAACAGUCCUUUGCUGUAUGGCCAGGCUUGCCACAAAUUUGGCAGCGAGGCAAGUCCGGACGGGACCGGUUGGAACCACCACUGCCACCACCACGGCGCCCUUUGGAGUUAUCGGAGCGCCCGCCGCCGCGUGAAUUGUUGGAGUAGCCACUGCCGUUGGAGCUGAACCUCCCCUUGCUACGGGAAGAUGAACGCGAGCGAGAGCCACCACCACGGCCUCUGGAUGCAGAGUUGGUCGAUGAUUUGAAGCCACCAUCGGGACCAUGAUACUAUGCCAUGCGUUGAUCAAAGUUACUGAGCAUGGCAAAAAAGUUCAUCGAGAGUUACCGGAGUGACACGGGCAUCUAGUGCGGAGACGAGGGGCUGAUAGUCUUGGUCCGGCCCAUGGAUGAUGUAGGAGAUUAACUCGUCGUCCUGGAUGGGUUUUCCCGCCGCGGCGAGUUCAUCGGCGAGACCCAUCAUGGCGGCGAAGAAGGUGGCCACCGAUUGAUUGCCCUUCUGCGCAUUGAUCAGCGUUGUCCGGAUGUUGUUGACGCGGCUGAGUGACUGUGACGAAAACAUGUUCGCCAGUGCCACCCAAAGAGCGCGCGCCGUGGUGAUCGUGGUCUCCGUGAUGAGCACUUCCUUGGAGAGGUGUUGGAGAAGAUAGCCGAGGACCUGCUGAUCCUCCUUCACCCAGAGCGGAUGAAGGGGAUUUGGCUCAGUGGUCUCCUUGCCGGCGGCGUCCUUGGUGGUGAGGACUUCGGCCGGCUCCGUUGCCGUGUCAUCAACAUAGUGGAAGAGGCCGGAUCCCCGCAGUUGUGGCCUGACCUAAGUCCGCCACAAAACAUAGUUGCCGCGGGUUAGCUUCUCCGGGGCUCCACCGCCGAGGGUCGACUGGAAGGAGGCGGAGGAGGAAGACAUGGCUGCGCGCACUUGAUGGACAUGGAUAAGCUAGGGUUUCUGGUGGAAGAAGGAGGCUCUGUAUACCAUGUGCGAUGCGGUAAACGUCUUGGCUUUCCUGGCCAGACGUGUUGCGUGUUAAAUAGCUGGGUUGCGAGCCCCGGAUAUGCGUACAGGUUGUUGGGAUACAUCUCUUGGAGAGAAAGAAAAUACUAGAGAUAAGAAAGAUAAAGAUUACAUAGUAUGCUAGCUAACUAACUACUCCACGGGAUGAUCUUGUACCGACGCAACUCCUUGACAUACACGCAAUAUCUCAUGUUUGACAGCCUCAAGCUAGUACCAUUCCACCACAAAUGUGCAGAGGCAUGCGUCAUCUAUGCAUGCCUGGUGCGGCCUUCCUCUUCGGUCUUAUCAUCCACCUGGCCGUCGGCGAAAUAUCCCAUCCUACCUGCUCAUUGUCAAGUAUAACCAUGCUUCCAACGCGACAUUAUCGUGAGUAAAAAUGCAUGCAGAACAUUACAAAUAUCAAAAUAUCUAAAUGUAUAGCUUUCAAAAGUAGGAUUUAAUAUAGCUUUCAACAGGAUUAAUCUGUAAUAUAAUCAAGCAUGGGCUAGAUUAUCAUUGAGAAAGCAUACUACAGAAGCAAGCUGAAGCUACCCGCUCUUAGGUCUAUAGUGUAUAUUGUACACCAUACAAGCAUAAUUUUGAGAUCAACGCUACAACUUUGUCAUGCAUCAGGGUAUGUUUGUUUUGAAAAGAACACAAGCUGUGUGGGCUGUUCUACAACUGAUCUAAUGACGACGUGAACAUAAAAAUGGCACGUGAUAUCUACAAUUGAUCCAAUGAACUAAAAUUGUCCCAUAAGCCACUUUUUCCACUGUUUGUCUCAUCCAACAACAACCUUUAUAAAAUAAGAAACCACACAACACAUAAAUUGAAAGACCUAAUAGAACAUGGAAGUGUUCCUAGCUCUAGCAACAUUGCCGACAUAUGCAUCUCAAGCAACAACAAACCAUGGCUCUUCUCCGUUUCUGAAGCAAGUUAAUUAAUAUGACAAAAUCAGAAAUAAAUCUAUAUUCUUUUCUAAUGGAUAUCAAUCUAUAAAUCUGAAUUAUAUUUGAGGCCACAAAGUGUAGCUUUUACCAUAACAAUACUGUACAUUUUGAGAAAACAAAUUGGGCUACUAAAUUAAUCAUGAGUAGAUCAUGAGAUUACUCGUCAAUUUUAGUGAGCCCAGCCACUCCUUACUUACACCUAUUCUUUUAAUCAACAUGCGCCUUUAAUUCCUCCAUGGCAGCAUACAACCACCAUCAUGCUACGUGGGGUUUAACACUCCCGCAGAAAUUAGAGCAAAACAAAAAAAGAACUAUGUUGCGCAUACUUUCACCUCAUCUACUCACUAUAAUAUCUAGAAUUUGGAGCUGAGAAUAUACCUGCAGACAAAUAAUAUAACAUUGAUGGGGAUCCCUAACAUCUCAACCAAUCUGUUAUCCUCCAGCUUGAGACUACUUGUAAAGUAACUUUCUGCACUAAAUCCCUCGCCUGUAACGAUAAAUGGUUGUAUUUGCAUUGUACAUUUUUCUAAGGCGGGUCAUGAAUCUGGAAGAUCUUUCAACAAAACAUUACACCUAAACAUUUCAUCUACAAGCCUGCUCGUCCCAACUUUACACCUAAACAUUUCUGUAUGUGGGUGUAUCACAUCCAUGCCCCGUCAUAUCUUGAAUGGGAAGUCAUAUGGCUAGAGAUCAAAGGGAUCAACACCUAAGGUUUUUAUUUCUUAAAUAAUCGGCCAAACCGCCAGCCAAUAUUGAUUUUUAGAAAGUAAAAGUUAAGCACAAUAUGAAUAUACAAAUGGAAAUUCUACACUUUAAAUGCGUACAUCAUCUUCUCAAGUGAAAUAAUAAAGACUCCCCUGUUCGUUAGAAAAAAGAAACUCCCAUGUCAAGGUAAUCUUCCUAGUACAACCACUUGUUGUGCUUCCUUUAAAGAAACUAAUAAGGACAAAUCGUCAUUAGGAACUUCGGAUAUCAACACAAAUCCUUAAUUUGGAUCGCUGUAAAAUAUAACCAAGGAUAUAAGCACCAAAGCUACAGUAGCAGUUAGCAUAUGCUGAAUCAUAAAGGAAGAGCCGAAGAGGAGAGCAUAGAAAAAAUAGCAUGUGGUCUUCAUAUGCUGAAAAUGAGAAUCAAUAACCAAGUAGAUUCAGAAUGGGGAUAGAUUCAGGCCUGAAAAGGUUGCAGUCUCUCUCCUUUGCUUUACUUCAUAGGUCAUUUUUUAUUAGAGGUUCCAGCUCUACACAGUACCUAUGCAAGUGCCUAAUCAGGAUACAUGUCACUGUUGAAACGCAAAACAAAAAACCAUAACAACCAUUGAACACAAACAAGAGAAGAGGAGAAAUCUUACACUUCGAUGAAAUAGAUAAUACACAUGCAUUAGUUACCUCACACUUGCUGAGCUUGAAGAAUUUGAUGAAGAUGAUGUCAGUGUACAUUGUACUUAUGGGAUUCCUUUGCAUCCAUGGACGCGCCAAAAAAGCUGCACAUAUUAAGGAAAAAAAGUGUUUGAUGACAACAAGUUAACAGCCACACAAAUCCAAGGCGGCGUAUAAUCUUCGUGUUUGGGCUUAUUGUGCUAAGGAUGCCGAAAAGCUGCAGGUGCAACAACGGGUGUAAAUUCAACACUGCCGCAUGUGUUUCUCCAUUGUCCACAAAUAUUAAAUUUCAAUAAUUUGCAUA